rnacentral:rRNA from 1 species
UACGAAGGGGGCUAGCGUUGCUCGGAAUCACUGGGCGUAAAGGGCGCGUAGGCGGCCAAGUAAGUUGGGGGUGAAAGCCCGUGGCUCAACCACGGAAUUGCCUUCGAUACUGCUUGGCUUGAGACCGGAAGAGGUGAGUGGAACUGCGAGUGUAGAGGUGAAAUUCGUAGAUAUUCGCAAGAACACCAGUGGCGAAGGCGGCUCACUGGUCCGGAUCUGACGCUGGGGCGCGAAAGCGUGGGGAGCAAACAGG